rnacentral:rRNA from 1 species
AGUGAACGCUGGCGGCAGGCCUAACACAUGCAAGUCGAACGAACUCUUCGGAGUUAGUGGCGGACGGGUUAGUAACACGACGGAACGUGAAUUUAGGUUCGGAAUAACUCAGGGACACUUGUGCUAAUACCGAACGUGCGCUUCGGGGGAAAGAUAUAUCGCCCUUAGUGGGGCCCUCGUCUGAUUAGCUAGUUGGGUCGGUAAUGGCUCACCAAGGCGACGAUCAGCAGCUGGUCUGUGAGGCUGGUCACCCACAUUGGGACUGAGACACGGCCCAAACUCCUACGGGAGGCAGGAGUGGGUGAUCGUGCGCCAUGGGGGAAAGCAUGACGCAGCCAGGCCGCGAGAAUGAUGAAAGUCUUGAGAUUGUAAAAUUCUUGCACCGAUGACGAUAAUGACGGUACCCAGAGAAGAAGCCCCGGCUAACUUCGUG